ACACGACUACAUUAGAUACCCGGGUAGUCCUAGCCGUAAACGAUACUCGCUAGGUGUCGGCCACGGUGCGACCGUUGUCGGUGCCGUAGGGAAGCCGUGAAGCGAGCCACCUGGGAAGUACGGCCGCAAGGCUGAAACUUAAAGGAAUUGGCGGGGGAGCACAACAACGGGUGGAGCUUGCGGUUUAAUUGGAUUCAACGCCGGAAAUCUUACCGGGACCGACAGCAACAUGGAGGCCAAGCUGAAGACUUUGCCGGAUUAGCUG
rnacentral:rRNA from 1 species